UACGAAGGGGGCUAGCGUUGCUCGGAAUUACUGGGCGUAAAGCGCACGUAGGCGGAUUGUUAAGUCGGGGGUGAAAUCCUGGAGCUCAACUCCAGAACUGCCUUCGAUACUGGCGAUCUAGAGUCCGGGAGAGGUGAGUGGAACUGCGAGUGUAGAGGUGAAAUUCGUAGAUAUUCGCAAGAACACCAGUGGCGAAGGCGGCUCACUGGCCCGGUACUGACGCGUGAGACGCGAAAGCGUGGGGAGCCAAACAGGG
rnacentral:rRNA from 1 species